rnacentral:tRNA from 1 species
GAGGGUGUAGCUCAGUGGUAGAGUGUGUGCUUAGCAGGCACGAGGUCCUGGGUUCAGUUGCCAGUACUGCCA